GACGAACGCUGGCGGCGUGCUUAACACAUGCAAGUCGAACGGAAAGGCCCUGCUUUUGUGGGGUGCUCGAGUGGCGAACGGGUGAGUAACACGUGAGUAACCUGCCCUUGACUUUGGGAUAACUUCAGGAAACUGGGGCUAAUACCGGAUAGGAGCUCCUGCUGCAUGGUGGGGGUUGGAAAGUUUCGGCGGUUGGGGAUGGACUCACGGCUUAUCAGCUUGUUGGUGGGGUAGUGGCUUACCAAGGCUUUGACGGGUAGCCGGCCUGAGAGGGUGACCGGCCACAUUGGGACUGAGAUACGGCCCAGACUCCUACGGGAGGCAGCAGUGGGGAAUAUUGCAAAAUGGGCGGAAGCCUGAUGCAGCAACGCCGCGUGCGGGAUGACGGCCUUCGGGUUGUAAACCGCUUUCGCCUGUGACGAAGCGUGAGUGACGGUAAUGGGUAAAGAAGCACCGGCUAACUACGUG
rnacentral:rRNA from 1 species